rnacentral:lncRNA from 1 species
AAACUUCCUAAAAUUUAAAUGAAUUCCUAAAUUAGGGAAAUUCUAAAAUUCAUAAAAUUAAUGGUUAAAUUAGUGCAAAAUUAACGCCUAAAUUUGGGAUAUCAAUCAAUUUCUUAAUUUAAUGCUUAAAUUAAUACAAAAUUAAUGCCUACAUUAAGAAUAUUAAUAAAAGUUUUAUUUAAAUUUUACGAUAUUUAAUUACAAAAAUACCUCGACAUGAAGUUCCUUUUUAACUUGAUAUAUGUUAAAAUGAUACCUUUUGUAGUGUUCUUGAGUUUUGGAUAGAAUUGGUUUCAGUAUUAGUGACUGGUCGGCAUCUCUGGAGAGUGUCGGACUGAGUCGGAGUCAAUUUUGUAUGAAUUUGAUGCAGAAUUGGACUCGGCGCACUCAAAUAAGCAAAACUGGAGUUUUACCAGAUUCGGGCGCCCAGAAUAUGGUUUAGGUCGCCCAGAAUUGAGUGAUAAAUUUAACUGAAACUGGAAGCCAAUUCGGACCCUAUGUUUCGGGCGCCCAGAAGUGGGUUUGGAAAUUCUACAUCGUGAAUAUCGUUUGCUUCGACGCGUGGCAGGGUGGUAGGUGAGGUCCGCUGGAGCUGUUUACGGGCGCAGCACACAGCGAGCAGAGAAUCCGAGGAUGAUUUGUGCACCCUGGAUGUUUCGGUCGCCCAAAACAUGGUUCCGGCGCCCAGAAACGCCCGUUUCUGCAGGGACACCAGAUUACAGCUACUUCUCUUGGGGCUUCUUUUAUCCUCCCAGCAGCCUAUAAAUAGAUGGAAGGUGACCCUAGCGAGCUCUUUUCACUCCUUCUUCGCAGUGAACCCUUGGAUUUCAUCUCCUACCCUCGAAUUUCCAUAAAUUGCUUCAAAAUCCACAACUCCAAGCUUGAUAGGUACUGAUUCUGUUGUUCUUCAGCGACGACCUUCAGUGUUUGGCUCGUGCGCGACGUAGGGAUAUCGGAUUUCGACGAAACUUGGUUUUCUGGAUUCUAAACUUCCUUAGGAAUCCACGAAGCCCUAAAUUGUAUAAUUUGGUUGAGGUUAGCUUGGUCAAACUCAAGUUUUACUCUGCUGCUAUUGUAUUUGGACAGAAUUGUGGGUUUUUGAAUUGUUCUUGAUGCUAUCAUUGGACGCAGUGGGGUUUGGACCUGAGGCACAUUCUCCCUCAUCAUUCCCUGGAUUUGGGACUGUCCUUACCUGAAUUGGGGACCUUUAGGUGAGUUUUGACAUUGGAGUUAAGAUAAUUAAGCUUAAGUGCUGAAAUUUUAGUGAAUUGAUGGAUUUUGAUGGAUUUUGGAUGUAGAUCUUUCGAGUAGCUUGGUUGCUGGUUGUGGAUGAUUCCAGCUGAGACUUCCAGCAAUUGUGGCCUUCUUGCUGCCAGGGAAUUGCUCUCGAGGUGGGUUUGCAUCGGAUUACUCCUAAGUAAUAAGUAGAUAUAUAGUCGACAUGUAUGUUUUGUUGUUCAGUCUACAAUGUGAUUAGAUUAAAUUCAGUGAUAAGCUAUGGCUGUAAUCUGAAUUUAAGCAUGCUAAAUAAGUGACAUUUACACAUGUUGGACUUGAAAAAUUGACUUAGGAGAAAACCUGCGUUUUGACCCGUCAUAUGCUUAAACUACCAGAUUUAGCUCUAGGAGCCAUAGUUUGACUGUAUCAUUGCAGUAUCAGUGUGACGGAUACCUGGGGUAGUUUAGAAGGCAUUUACGCUCGUGAUGGGGUGUCGAGCUUAUUUUUCAGCAAAGUCUAGACUGUUUCGGGUCGUUGGGUGCCGUCCGGGUUGGCGGUGGACCCAUAUUCUUGUUUUGGUUCCAGAUUGUGCCGAGGGUAUGUGGGCCAGGUUUGUAGACCUGUGUUGACCCUAUUUACAUGACUUUGGCUAGUUGGAGCCUGUUUGAGCUCGACAGAGAUACGCUGCAUACUCGGUUGGGUAGCUCCCACGAGUGCUACUCUGGAGGCUGGCGUUGUGCUUUUGCGUUGGUGUCGUGCAUGCCAGUUAGACUUGCUCUCCACGGACUGAUUAGUGUGGAGGUAGCUGGAUAGUCUCAACUAGGCGGGGCGGGUGUGUUCACAGUCUCUGAGACGGGUAUGUUUACAGUCCCUAAAGAGAUUGGGUCAGAAUUGACAUUGCUACAGUAGUCAGCAUAGAACAUGAUAGUGUAAUAAAUGGUAGCUGUAGAUUUUUAUUCCAGCAUUUAUUACUACCUUUGCUCCCUUCUGUAGACUUAGUGGGUGGACCGAUGUUGUUGAGGGCGGUACCCACUGAGGACUACUUGUUUUACAGUAGUUCUCACGCCCUGUGGUUACCCUGUUUUUGCAGAGCCAUCGUCGUCAGCUGCUGUUGUUGCUGAUCAGGAUCAAGGCAAGGGCGUCGCGAGUUAGAGCCCUGCCCAAUGUGCUGAGCUAGAGGCGCCCCUACAGCAGGUAGUUGUUUUUGUUGGAGUUCAUGUACAUACAUAUAUUUAACUCGCUAGUGCGAGUAGUUUUGUAUCUUGGAUUUGGCGUAUGUAUAUGGAACUCGGUUUAUUCCUUUUUACUGGUUCUUCUAGCAGCUCUAUACUACUGUUUCUAGUAUUGUAUGAUUUACAGGCACAGCUAUCGCUUCGUAUACCGAAAAAUUUUUUUUGUAUACGGCGGAUUUGUCGACGCGCCCGGAGAACGAGUAAUCCGGGGCGUGACACCUUUAUCCUUUAUUGAUUAGCGGUUAAGAUCUUUUCUAUUUUUUAUAAAAUAAAGUAUCGAAUUAUUUCUCA